rnacentral:rRNA from 1 species
GACGAACGCUGGCGGCGUGCUUAACACAUGCAAGUCGAACGGAAAGGCCCCCUUUUGGGGUACUCGAGUGGCGAACGGGUGAGUAACACGUGAGUAACCUACCCUUGACUUUGGGAUAACUUCAGGAAACUGGGGCUAAUACCGGAUAGGAGCUCCUGCUGCAUGGUGGGGGGUGGAAGGUUUCGGCGGUUGGGGAUGGACUCGCGGCUUAUCAGCUUGUUGGUGGGGUAGUGGCUCACCAAGGCUUUGACGGGUAGCCGGCCUGAGAGGGUGACCGGCCACAUUGGGACUGAGAUACGGCCCAGACUCCUACGGGAGGCAGCAGUGGGGAAUAUUGCACAAUGGGCGGAAGCCUGAUGCAGCAACGCCGCGUGCGGGAUGACGGCCUUCGGGUUGUAAACCGCUUUCGCCUGUGACGAAGCGUGAGUGACGGUAAUGGGUAAAGAAGCACCGGCUAACUACGUG